rnacentral:rRNA from 1 species
AGUGAAUGCUGGCGGCAUGCUUUAUACAUGCAAGUCGAACGGAGAAGAAUUUUUGUAGCAAUACAGAAAGUUUUUUUAGUGGCGAACGGGUGAGUAAUAUAUAGGAACUUACUCAAUAGUGGGGGAUAACAGUUGGAAACGACUGCUAAUACCGCAUAUUCCCGAGAGGGGAAAGGUAUUUAUAUCGCUAUCGAAGAGGCUUAUAUCUGAUUAGCUAGUUGGUGCGAUAACUGCUUACCAAGGCAAUGAUCAGUAGCCGGUCUGAGAGGAUGAUCGGCCACAUUGGGACUGAGAUACGGCCCAAACUCCUACGGGAGGCAGCAGUAGGGAAUAUUGGACAAAUGGACGAAAGUCUGAUCCAGCAAUGCCGCGUGAGUGAUGAAGGUGUUAUGCAUCGUAAAGCUCUUUUAACAGGGAAGAUAAUGACAGUACCUGUAGAAUAAG